rnacentral:rRNA from 1 species
GGAGGGGUGCAAGCGUUGUUCGGAAUUAUUGGGCGUAAAGCGGGUGUAGGGCGGUGAGCUAAGUCCGAUGUGAAAGCCCGGGGCUUAACCCCGGAAGUGCAUUGGAUACUGGUUCACUAGAGGGUGAGAGAGGGAAGCGGAAUUCCUGGUGUAGGGGUGAAAUCCGUAGAUAUCAGGAGGAACAUCAGAGGCGAAGGCGGCUUCCUGGCUCACUUCUGACGCUGAGAUCCGAAAGCGUGGGGAGCAAACAGGAUUAGAUACCCUGGUAGUCCACGCCCUAAACGAUGGAUACUAGUCGUUGGAGUACCUAAUUGCUUCAGUGACGUAGCUAACGCGUUAAGUAUCCCGCCUGGGGAGUACGGUCGCAAGAUUA